CGAGGUGGAGCAGCCUGGAUGAUACAGCCAAGAUGACACAGCCUUAAAAACACCUCCAGACAGACAGAUAGGCAGGCAGGCAGGCAGACAGAGCCGGGCGGGUCUUUGAAGCGGAGGCGAGGUGUGACAAGACAAGACCUCCCAUUAGGAAAGCGACUUCUAAACCCAGGAGGAGCUCAGUGACCCCAGCUAACGUUAGCGGUUGUCCAGCUGGCAGCCUCGGGCGGCUUCCAGCCGUACGGUUGACUGGAGGGCUGAACCCACCACACCGCUGGGCUCUAAUCCUGUUAAGAAGGAAAGAGACAAUUACUCUGCUUUGCUUCGGUUCAGCGCUUAGAUCCGCUCCCGCCGAGGGCUCAGAGCAAAAACAGUCACCUCCACUGCCAAACGACGGCAGGAGAGUACGCUGUAGAAACAUGCUUCGUUUAAACUGCUACAGGGCCUUUGUGAAUGUGAUAUGAUAAUAACAGCUCGUCGCUGAAACAGGUCUGAUUACACAAACUGAAGAUUAAUGUGAGCUGACAUAAUAACAGCAGUGAGGUUACGUCUUCUGAUGAAGAAGAGAGGGACCAGACUGCCUCAGGCACCGUGGUGUCAACUCAGUGAGUGUGUGUGGUCCUGUUAUCUCCAUCUUUGUGAGGACCAGGUUCAGUUUUAGACAUUGAACGUGAAGAUGGGUGGAAAGUGAGGACAUUUUUAGGUGUGGAUAAUUUGGGACGUUUUUGGAAGUUGAAGACAUUUUGGACGGCGACAACAUUUAUAGGAAAGCAAAGACAGUUUUGAAAAGUGAAGACAUAUUAGGGAUAUUUUUAGGAAAUGAGAACAUUUUAGAAAAUUAACCCUUACUUCUUUUUAUGUCAACGAGGGUCCUCACAAGUAUGGAGAUAGAACACUUAUGCACACACACUGAACACAUACAGUACGACUCAGUGUUUUACAGUAGACACACACACACACACACAGUAGACUGAACACCUGACAUGAAACUUGAAGCUCAUCCUCCUUCUGCUCUGUGUUUCUCUUUACCUCUGUGUAACCCCCUCACCACCACCACACACACA